UACGUAGGGACCGAGCGUUGUCCGGAUUUAUUGGGCGUAAAGAGCGUGUAGGCGGCCAUGUAGGUCCGGUGUGAAAACUCGAGGCUUAACCUCGAGAUGUCAUCGGAAACCAUUUGGCUAGAGUCCGGAAGAGGAGAGUGGAAUUCCUGGUGUAGCGGUGAAAUGCGCAGAUAUCAGGAAGAACACCAAUGGCGAAAGCAGCUCUCUGGGACGGUACUGACGCUGAGACGCGAAAGCGUGGGGAGCGAACAGG
rnacentral:rRNA from 1 species